UGAUGUAGAGAGCUUUCCACUUCGAGCCACACGAGAUAUCGAGAGUGCAAGGAGCACUUCAAGUCAAUGCAAGUAAACGUACAUACCCCUAAAUACGUCGUUGAAUGCAAGACCGCGAUGUUAUCUUUAGGUCGUGUUGGUAAUCGUAUUCCUGGCAUUGCAAUGCAUUCCUUCUUGCCCUCCUGAAGCUCUUUGGAGCCAACGAUCUCGAAAGCUUUAAGCAUACUACGAAGUAGAUCUAGUGUCGUCCGUCCGGCUUACCUGGAUUGAUUUCUUCUGAUUCACCUCAGUUCACCUGGAUUGUGCCCAAGAUCGGGUGUUAUGGCGAAUGCUUGACUGGUGAGGAGGGAUUUGUUCCUCUUGAGUGGCAAAGACUCCUGGAAACCAUAAAAAUCAUGUCAUGCCAAGCGGCCAAUUCUCCCAACCCGUAAUUUGAUCAAUAAUUUCACGGCCGGCCAUCCCCAAAGUGCGAUCUUCCAUCCACGAACAACAAAGGCAAGCUCGCCUUCCAAGUGAGAAGAAACAAGAGGGAAGAAGAAGAAAAAAAAACUAUUCAUAUUCGAGGGACUGGGCUCUAAAAAAUUGAUAAUUGAGCUAAAUUAUGGGCCUUUGUGCUCUUCCUCGACCAGCUUCACUUCCAACUUCACUUUAAAAAAUCUGCUCAAUAACCGGUGGAUAAAUGAACUCGAGCGAGAAACUCGUCGUCGAAACGAUCAACCCCGAAACGAAACGUCAUCCUGAAAAUGACUAGUCUGUACUGACAUGUUCUAUUACAUUGGGUCUGGUUUCAAGUGCAUCCAUGACAAUUCCCAAUCCUCAUUCCUUGUCCCGCUUCUUGCCUGAAUAUCCCUGGCAUGUGAUGUGUGAUCAGUGCGUGUGUGUGUGUGUGAGUCAUGGAGGAUUAUACGAUUUCCUUCAAGGACUUCAUGCACGGUUUUUGUCUCUGGACGGCCGGUUCUCUUCUAAUGUGCCUAAUUGUCUACAUGUUUUAUGAGCUAUUCUACUCGAGCUCUUGGGUAUCUCGUCGGGCAUCUGGGAUCCCCAGGAUAAUUCCAAUGAGAAGGCAAAUUGCCCAAGAAAACAAUUAUGACGGUAAUGAGGAAGAGGUGGAUCAGCAGCCAUUUGAUGACUUGAUUCACGUCAUCACGGAUUUGAGGCAGAGACACCAAGGUUGACGACGCUGGGCGACCCGAGAAAUCGGGAGGAUUCAUCGCAGAUAUCGAAUCUGCUCGAGGUGACCAUGAGCACGAAGUCUUCGGCAGAGACCCCGACUCGAUUUUGUCAUCCGACGCGAUCAUCAAGAAAGUGAUUGUCAAACCUUGGAGUCCAGAUUAGGACACGCUUGAAGCUUCAAAACUCAAGAAAAAUGUUUGCCGGGGACACUCUGACAACUCGAAAACAGCAUUCAAACUCCCAAAUGGACAAGGAAAAAAACCUUCCGCGAAGCGAAUAAGUUCGUUCAAGCAUGAAAAGAACCCGGGGAUUUUGUGCCUAUUUGAAAAGGUGACUUGGCGAGAUGGGUGUCAAAACAGGGAUUCACAUUUGUCUUCCUCAGAAAAUCGCUCUUUUCAAAACGGUUUUUAUAUCUUUUCCUCCAAUCCUGAGUCAAUGACGGUGCCCGACGACCACAUGCAAAGCCCAUUCUUGAGACCCCCGAAACUCUCGGUAUUCGAUUCAUUGAAGACGAAUGCUAAAUCCCGGAUCUUUUUGGACACCACCAUCAAUCCUGUGUUUAAACACCGCUAAAAAAACAUCCCAACAUAUUCAACACAUGGAACAAUGGCCGAACUUUUAGGCCAACCCAUCCUACUAUCACUACCAUGAAAUCAACUUUCGAAACCCGGACGAGAUCAGAAACCUAUUUUGAACGAUUGA